CUUACCUAUGGUCUAAAUUUUGACUUUAAAAUAAAUUGUAAUUAUAUUCUUUAAUCAAUUCAAUGCAGUUGUCAAUAAUAAUAAGCUCCACAAGCAAUGUUUAACAAAGCACAAUUUACUGGAAAUAAGUCCUACCUGGCCAUUUAACAGUACUUAUACAUUGGAUAUAAUUUAUAACCGUGUAUUCGCGGAAAAAACAAACCUGUGUGCAAAUGCAUAAUAUCUAUUUUUAAACAAGGUAAUGAGGUCAUAACCUUUUUUUAGAAUUUUGAUGAAAAUAGCAAUCCUUCACCUGUGUUUGAUUUCAGACUUUUACAAUACAGAAAUGAUACCCGAUUAAUGAAAGUGAUAAAAAGUAAUAAACAAACAAAAAUAUUUCCAUGACAACAGACAACAUGUCAAAAAUAUUGGAUAGCAAAGUCAGAAUUAAUGAGAUGUACAUGCAUUACAGUGGGCAGCAACCAGACACUGCCUGAUCUAAAAAGAGUUUAUGGUCUUUAAAUGAUAAUGAUCCCAUGAGAAAUCAAUCUGGCUAGAACAUGUCGACAAAUUACUUGUGUACUCUUUCUUAGAAAACUAUAAAGGCAAAAAAAUUCAGCUGCAAUUGUUGGGUUUUAUCAAAGAAUGAAUUUCAAUGGUAUUUAUAGACACUUAGUACAUCUCAAUAUUCUAACAUUUGUUAUCAAGGCAAAUCAUUCAAAAUUUACACAUUCAACAAUUACACAAAAAUACUAAAGAAAAUAAAAUUGAACUGCAUUCAAAAAGGCAGCUUACUUAGAAAUACACAAUAUAGAUUUGGUCCUGCGAGUACAAAAAUAUUCAUAUAUCUAAAAAAAUUCUUGAACUUUAAAAAGCAUUU
rnacentral:lncRNA from 1 species